rnacentral:rRNA from 1 species
UACGGAGGAUCCGAGCGUUAUCCGGAUUUAUUGGGUUUAAAGGGUGCGCAGGCGGAAGAUUAAGUCGGUGGUGAAAUUUUGCAGCUCAACUGUAAAAGUGCCAUUGAUACUGGUUUUCUUGAGUGUGGAUGAAGUAGGCGGAAUUUGUGGUGUAGCGGUGAAAUGCAUAGAUAUCACGAGGAACUCCGAUUGCGCAGGCAGCUUACUAAACUACUACUGACGCUCAGGCACGAAGGCGUGGGGAUCAAACAGGAUUAGAUACCCG